rnacentral:rRNA from 1 species
AUGUUGAUGCAAGACUACUUCGCGGACAAUCCUACCUAUCCGCCGCACCUCUUCCGAAGAAGGUAUCGAAUGCGUCGAUCCCUCUUCGUAAAAAUUGUGCAAGCUUGCGAGGCCAAUUCUCGGUUUUUUACUCAAAGGAGAAACGCCGCGGGCUUGUUGGGUUUUAGCGCGUAUCAAAAAAUCUCCGCAGCUAUGCGGAUGAUUGCGUAUGGCAUUCCGGCUAACUAUGUCAACGAGUAUCUUCGCAUUGGUGAGGAUACUACAAUUGAGUCAGUGCAUAGGUUCACCAAAGUGAUCAUCCACGUCUUGGUCAUAUCUAUCUUCGUGCACCCAACAAGGAAGAUACAAAAAAGUUGA